GAGAGAGAGAGAGAGAGAGAGAGAGAGAGAGAGAGAGAGAAGUUAAAUAAUAUACCAAAAAUGAAAGAAAAUUGCUUUAAUUUAUCUAUUCUCUCCUCUCUUCCUCACGUUGCUCUCUUUAAU
rnacentral:miRNA from 1 species